GCAAAGACCAAAGGGCUUCUGGACGCAAUUGGAUGGACCUACAACCAAUCAGAGCAAGGGAAAUGUGUGACACAUCAGUGUUAACCAUCUUGUUCGGAAUUUUGGACAUAGGGCCUGAUUCCCAAGUGAGCAUUGGUAUUCUAUAUCACUGGAGACAGUUUUCAACACAUUUCAUACAGUCCUUCUAGUUGCAGAGUUUGCUCGUGCUAGGCUAGCGCAAGUCAACGGGCAAUGCUAGCCUGCUAUUAAAAACAGUCUUACCCACUCCACAGUACACCCGAGGUAAAUCAAUUAUAACGCCAGACUAUAAAUCUAAAUGUCUGUUUAUAGAAUAAUGUUAGAAAUAAAACCAACCUUGCAUUGCAUUGCAUUUUGAGGGAAUUGCGGGGUCUCAGCAGCAGUGUUUAUAUUCCUGUACGUAGGCUACGGCAGCGGCGGACUGAUACCUAGGUUACCUGCCGCUGUCAUUGCUACAAACGCAGAGUACAGUGAACGAAGGAAUUCUAUAAGCGUAUUCAAUUAACAAGAUAUGCCCACGUUUGGAGGAGUUUGCGAUGCAUCUGCUUUUGAAGACGAUUAUGAGGAAUUUGUUGUAUCCAACGAACCGUACAUGUACGAGCCGGUGUUUUGAUGUCCAAGCCAGCAGCAACAAGCCACAGUUGAGUCCUUUCUGGAUCUCGCACUGGAAAUUGGUGGAAACUUUGUGGUGCCCAUCUGUACCGUUUAUUUCUACAAUUUCUAAAAGCACACUGAACCAUCAUGUUGCCUAGUCGUUCAAUUGCGCUUCUGUCCCACGCUUCUCUGUUUACGUUCUUCUGUCGUGAUUCGGUUACAAACCUAACCAGCGCAUAGUAAAAUUCCGCUUCUGCUGAGAAAGUAGUCCCUCGAUGAUUCAUGCGAUGCAAGGUUAGUUUUAUUUCUAACAUUAUUCUAUCAACACAGACAUUUAAAUCUAUAGUCUGGCGUUAUAAUUGAUUUACCUCGGGUGUACUGUGGAGUGGGUAAGACUGUUUUUAAUAGCAGGCUAGCAUUGCCCGUUGACUUGCGCUAGCCUAGCACGAGCAAACUCUGCAACUAGAAGGACUGUAUGAAAUGUGUUGAAAACUGUCUCCAGUGAUAUAGAAUACCAAUGCUCACUUGGGAAUCAGGCCCUAUGUCCAAAAUUCCGAACUACCCCUUUAAACUUUUGGCUUCCAUGUGACUUCAUGCUGGUCUCUAAUUGGUCACUUCAAGAUUCUCCUCCGGGCGCAGCUCUCUGCGCCCCUGGCCAAUCAGCGUGCUUGGGCUCAUUUUUCAUCCAGUCUGAUUGAUUCAUGAUACCUAUCAGUCAAAGUCACUCCCCUGGCAACAGAGCCGUGCCUGUCACUCAAAGAGCGACAGACACGCCCACGCGCACACGGAGCAGACAGAAAAAAACAACAACGAGAAGACAGGAGGAGACAUGGCGACAGCAAACGAAAAUUCGGUUGUUUCGUUACGCAGUAAUCCUUUCUCGAGG